GGGUCAGUAGGUUGGUCCGGCCACCGGUACGUACUGGUCUCACUGAUUCCUCCUUCCUGAAGAACCGUAAUGCCAUUAAUUUGGUGUUGCGGGGAAACAGGACUGUUACUUUGAAAAAAUUAGAGUGUUUAAAGCAAGCUAACGCUUGAAUACAUUAGGAUGGAAUAAUGAAAUAGGACGAUCGAUCCUAUUUUGUUGGUUUCUAGGAUUGACGUA
rnacentral:rRNA from 1 species